rnacentral:lncRNA from 1 species
CUUCCUUUCUCGCUCCCCGGCCAUCUUGGCGUCUGAUCUUGGUUGGGGCUUGUCCCGCACCUAAGGCAAGAGGAUGGUGGCUGCAAAGAAGACGAAAAAGUCUCUGGAGUCAAUCAACUCUCGGCUCCAACUUGUUAUGAAAAGUGGAAAGUACGUGCUGGGGUACAAACAGACUCUGAAGAUGAUCAGACAAGGCAAAGCGAAAUUGGUUAUCCUCGCCAACAACUGUCCAGCUUUGAGUGGCAAUAACAUUGAAUUGGGCACAGCGUGUGGAAAAUACUACAGAGUAUGCACACUGGCUAUCAUUGACCCAGGUGAUUCCGAUAUUAUUAGAAGCAUGCCAGAACAGACUGGUGAGAAGUAAACAAGAAAGUUCUCCUUUAAUAAAACUUUGCCAGAGCUCCUUUUAAAAAAUAUGGUGUCUGGGCUUCUUCUUGUUUGGCUUUCUUGAAACCACUGGCAAGACUUGGGUGAAAGUUAUGUAUACUGCCUGGUUUCCAUUUUGCUGGGGUUUUGUUAAAAGAUUGUACACUGUUUAUCAUUAUGCAAAAUGUGUUUCUGAGUAUAUUUCGGAUAUUGAAAUACACAUUUGUGUUGAUCUAAUAUCUAAUCAAGGUUGGUUGGUGUUUUUACCACUUUUGUAUACUGAGGCAAGUCUCCCUUAAACCCUGAGUUUGGCAAUGCCAGCUAGCCUAGCCAACUUCCUCUGGGGGAUCUCUCCGGAUACCCAGAGUGAUAGAAUUGCAGGCUAGCACCUGCCACUUACUUUACAUGGGUGCUGGAGGUUCAGCCUCAGUCCUCAAGCUUGCACAAAAAGCUUUGCCUCUAAGCUGUUACCCCAGCUCCUUAUAAAGACCGGCCAGUCUCAGGCUGUUUGCAUUGUUUUUGGGUCUUAGAGGCACUGGCAUACCAAGACUUGUGAUGGGCAAAAGCUGUGGACUUUGCGUGCUACUUAAAUUGAUUUAGAACUAUUUUCCUUUUCAAAUUAUUUCCUACUUAGUUCCUUAAAAUAUGGUAGUUUCUGUGUUGUGACUUGGCUACAGGCAUUUAAAUAUUUUUUUUGAUGUGUGGUUUCUAGGGCUUUGUAGGUACUGAUAAUAGGGUAUAAGGUAAUUUAAAAAAUUUUUUUGUGUAGUCAUUGUGUUUGUAAGAAGGGUUUAAAACACAGGAAAGUUUAAAGCGAGAUGGUAGGAAGCAUACCGUACUUUGUUGUUUCGUGAUUCUUAAAAGAAGUGCCUUACUAAUGUUAUUGAGGGGAAAAGGUCACUGUCCCAAAUCAAGAGUGGUGAAAAAUGGCAUUUUAAAUGUGCAGGGAUUCUAGCUAGCUACAUUUAGUCCACAGCUCUACUGGUUGGGUGUGGAGUACGUUGAUUGCAAGCAGCACUCUGUGGCAUAUGAACAAAACUGUUGACAGAAUUUGAGCUUGCUAUAGCAAAAAAGUCUUAACCUAUAGUGUUCUCUUCCUCAUGAGAUAAGCCGGUAAAUAAACUCCAAACAAUAGAUAAGAAAAAAAGAGUCAUGAUUGGAGUUAGUUGUAUAAUAUGUAAGAUAGUCACAUCUCAUGGAAAGGUUCUCUGGUUCAUUUUUGGAACUUUGUUCUUUUGCCGACAAUGGCAACAGUUUCCUGCCCCAAUUCUGGGCUUACCUGUAUUUGAUCUAGGUGCCACCUAGUUAAAAUUGAUCUUUUCCCCCUUAAGCAGCAUGAGUCACCUCUCACUAAACUACAGUCUUAGAGCUAAGGAUUCAUUCAGCAUUUUCAUUUUACGUCACGUAAACAAUUUGAAUAUUUUCCAGUGCUUAAACAGUUCCCCAUUAGACUUGAGACUAUCUAGUCCAGAACUUAAUUUUGUCUUGUUAAUAGUAAUUUUUCAAUAUUGUGUUUAUUUAUCAUUUAAUUUGCUAUUUCAUCUGGUUCAGAGUCAAAGCAAACAAGAUGGUCCUUAUCUACUCAGUAUAAACCUCCCUAAGCCCUAUCUUGUGAGUGACCAGUGGUGAAGAAUAAAAUUGUUACAACUAAUACUGAGCAUUUAAGACGUUGAGAGAUUGCUGUACACUCUUCUCCUCUGGGCACUUGCAUAUGUAGCAUUUGCUUGAAUGCAUGCCUUUUUUUAUGAAGAUUCUGAGUGAAGUUAUGCUUAUCUGUGUACCACUUGCAUGCAUGGUCCCCAUUGAGGCCAGCAGAGGGCAUUGGAUUCCCUAAACCCUGGAUCAUCUGCAAAAACAAGUGCACUUAAUUGCCAGGCCAUCCAUCCAGCACAAAGAUGUAUUUAGCUGUGUGUGUGCAUUUUGCCUAUGUGCAUUUAAGUGCACCACGUGUAUGUCUAGUGCUUAAAGAGUCCAGGUGCUGCUCUUGGGUCCCAGGAACCGAGUCACAGAUGUUGAUAACAGCAAGUACACCUACCCAUCAAGCAUGAUUCAUUUAAAAAUGUGCAGAUUUGCUUAAUUAUUUUAAAAGAUUAUUUUAUGUGCACCUCUGUUUUGCCUGUGCAUGUCUGUGAAGGUGUUUAUCCUGGAACUGGAGUUACAGGUAGUGGUGAGCUGUCAUGUAGCUGCUUGGGAAUUGAACCUGGGUCCUGUGCAAGAACAGCCAGUGCUCUUAGCUGCUAAGCCAUCUCACCUCCCCAGCCCUAUGAGUUUUUUUUUUUUUUAAAGUCUUAAACUUUACUUACCAUGUCUACACGUGAGUAUGCAUGCCUGAUGAGGCGUUUGAUGGCUUAUAACUGGAGUUACUGGUAACAACACAGCUGCCUGGUGUGGGAACCCAGUUCAGCAGCAGUCACUAUCUAGUCCCUAAUCUAUAACCUGGUGGAUUGGCUGCAGGCUUGUGCAUUGUAUGUGGCAUCAAGGAGAAAAGGGUAGGGAUGGUUUUGUGCAGCUAGAGGGAGG